CAUAGCGACUAUCGUGGCAUAUCAAUAAGCGGAGGAAAAGAAACUAACUAGGAUUCCCUCAGUAACGGCGAGUGAAGCGGGAAGAGCUCAAAUUUGAAAUCUUAAAGGUUUUCCCUUGACGAAUUGUAGUUUAAAGAAGUGUUUUCUGUUGAAGUUUCGGUAAAAGUUCUUUGGAAUAGGACAUCAUAGAGGGUGAGAAUCCCGUAUUUGACCAUUCUUUCAGCUGUGUGAUACACUUUCAAAGAGUCGGAUUGUUUGGGAAUGCAGUCCAAAAUGGGUGGUAAAUUUCAUCUAAAGCUAAAUAUUGGCGAGAGACCGAUAGCGAACAAGUACCGCGAGGGAAAGAUGAAAAGAACUUUGAAAAGAGAGUUAAACAGUACGUGAAAUUGUCAAAAGGGAAGCGUUUGACACCAGUGUUGUUUUCUCGAAAAUCAAUUAAAAAUGGCUGGAUUCUAGGUUGCUUAUGACCUUAAUCAAGCUUGUUUCCUAGUUCUCUUGUCUUUUUAAAUGCACUUUUCGUUUAACAAGUCAACAUCAAUUUCUUUUGCUGUAAAAGGGUAAGAGGAAGGUGGCUUUACUUUCGGGUAAAGUGUUUAUAGCCUUUUAACUCUGCAAUCGGAGAGAUUGAGGUCUGCAGCGUAGAUCCUUCGGGGCUAGAUACGUUUGUGCUAAGUUAUAGCUUUUCAUAGACAACUUGUUGACUAUGUUUAGUCUUGUAGCUUACUCGCUUAUGCUAUUUUACCUACGCUUAGGAUGUUGACGCGCGUGUGUGCGUG
rnacentral:rRNA from 1 species